rnacentral:lncRNA from 1 species
UUUAAGGUGACCUCGAUUAGCCGAAUGGAAAGCUCGAACCUUCGUUGAUACAAAAUUCCGGCCUUUUAAAUAUUACAUUACUUACCAAGCCAAUCUCCAACAUUUAGUUAAUCUAACUUUCUAUCAUAGCUCAAUAUAAAAUUCACCACCUAGAUCGAAGAGUCGAAGGUUAUCACCGUGUAAAGAUUUUUAAAACCUUGAUGAUCAAAUGCAUCGUUUUAAGAGAAGGCAAUCAGGAAAUUGAUACAAAUGACAAUGUAAUUAGUAUAAAAUGCAUGAAUCAUAUUGGCCAAAUGUAGAACGUGAAGUUCGGGGUAUUACAGAGGGGUCGUGAUGAGUAUGUUAUUCAUUUUUGUAUUGAAAUGAUCUAAAGACAAACGUCGGAUAAUGGAUGAAAUUGCAUCUAUUUUCUUUGGAAUUUGAAAUUAAACUCUUGAAUAAGCUUGUUUGGCUGUAUUUAAAACUCUCUAUGAAAAACUAGUUAAUAUUUAUCCAAUAUUUAAGUUUGGGAAUGCGGUUAAACAGUAAAGUGAAGUAGACUUUCUUAAAUUUUAGCCCCUAUUUCCUUAUUUCUUGGAUCCGCCCCUGAGUAUAUGAAUAUUUAAUGGCAAAAUAGAUUAAUUUCAUCCAUUGGGAAUCUAUGAUCACGAAAAUGAAAGUUUGAGAAUGUAUAUGCUUGAAAUUUUGAGUGAAUUGUCUAAAUGGUCACUGAAUUUUGUAAAAGAUUUCUAAGGGGUCAUUGAAUUUUAAAAUCACCUAAAUUGUGACUAAACUUUGCAAAAGAUUUCUACGGAGCCUUCGAAAUUUAAAAAUCACAUAAAUGGUUACUAAACUUUGCAAACUAAAAUGAAAGUUUUUAAUUCUUUACAAACUAAAAUGCAAAUUUUUUAUAUGUGCCACUUCCAAUCACAAUUAUUUAGAACUUUGUUUUUCACGUCACCCGCUUCUUUUCUUCCCUAAAAAUAAAAAAGAACCUCACCACCGUCAGCACCACCAUCGCCGAUUGGCCACAGCCACCCAGAUUCCACUUCAAAUACAAAUUCAUAAAUCCAACAAGAAAUUGUCCACAUCACUGCGCAUUUCCCUCCCCUAGAUUUCCCCUCAUUCUCUUCCUUAUGCUCCUCCUUAAUCUUCUCCAAAGGCAGCUCGAAUGCACGCGAUAAAGAUAAGGAAGGCAGACGUCGACCUAAACCAUUUCUUCGGCCUCACUGCAGUUGAGGCUGAAGAGGCGGCAUCGAAUUUAGGUUAUUCAAUAAUUGGGUGUAACUGUCUCCUCCAUGAUCAGAGAAUUAUGCAGAAUUUUAAUGACUUUAUGAGUAGUGGGUUAUUAAAAAAAGGUCACAAAAUACUGCCUAAUUUGACCCAUUAAAUAAUUUCGAAAAUAAAUAAAAAAAUUAUUUUAGUCAAAGAAUCC